CCUACGGGAGGCAGCAGUGGGGAAUAUUGCACAAUGGGGGAAACCCUGAUGCAGCGACGCCGCGUGAGUGAAGAAGUAUCUCGGUACGUAAAGCUCUAUCAGCAGGGAAGAAAAUGACGGUACCUGACUAAGAAGCCCCGGCUAACUACGUGCCAGCAGCCGCGGUAAUACGUAGGGGGCAAGCGUUAUCCGGAUUUACUGGGUGUAAAGGGAGCGUAGACGGCAGCACAAGUCUGGAGUGAAAUCCCGGGGCCUAACCCCGGAACUGCUUUGGAAACUGGGCGGCUGGAGUGCAGGAGGGGUAAGCGGAAUUCCUAGUGUAGCGGUGAAAUGCGUAGAUAUUAGGAGGAACACCGGUGGCGAAGGCGGCUUACUGGACUGUAACUGACGUUGAGGCUCGAAAGCGUGGGGAGCAAACAGGAUUAGAUACCCGUGUAGUC
rnacentral:rRNA from 1 species